rnacentral:rRNA from 1 species
GAUGAACGCUGGCGGCGUGCCUAAUACAUGCAAGUCGAGCGAACGGACGAUAAGCUUGCUUCUCUGAUGUUAGCGGCGGACGGGUGAGUAACACGUGGAUCACCUACCUAUAAGUCUGGGAUAACUUCGGGAAACCGGAGCUAAUACCGGAUCAUAUUUUGAACCGCAUGGUUCAAAAGUGAAAGACGGUCUUGCUGUCUCUUAUAGAUGGAUCCGCGCUGCAUUAGCUAGUUGGUAAGGUAACGGCUUACCAAGGCAACGAUGCAUAGCCGACCGGGGAGCGGGAUAGCCGACAGUGAAGCUGAGACACGGUCCAGACACCUAGGGGAGGCAGCAGUAGGGACGCUACCGAAAUGGGGGAAAGCCUGACGAAGCAACGCCGCGUGGGUGAUGAAGGUCUUCGGAUGGUAAAACUCUGUUAUUGGGGAAGAACGCAUGUGUAUGUAACUGUGCACAUCUGGAGGGUACCUAAUAAGAAGGCCACGGCAAACUACGU